rnacentral:rRNA from 1 species
UAAGCGACUAAGCGUACACGGUGGAUGCCCUGGCAGUCAGAGGCGAUGAAGGACGUGCUAAUCUGCGAUAAGCGUCGGUAAGGUGAUAUGAACCGUUAUAACCGGCGAUUUCCGAAUGGGGAAACCCAGUGUGUUUCGACACACUAUCAUUAACUGAAUCCAUAGGUUAAUGAGGCGAACCGGGGGAACUGAAACAUCUAAGUACCCCGAGGAAAAGAAAUCAACCGAGAUUCCCCCAGUAGCGGCGAGCGAACGGGGAGCAGCCCAGAGCCUGAAUCAGUGUGUGUGUUAGUGGAAGCGUCUGGAAAGGCGCGCGAUACAGGGUGACAGCCCCGUACACAAAAAUGCACAUGCUGUGAGCUCGAUGAGUAGGGCGGGACACGUGGUAUCCUGUCUGAAUAUGGGGGGACCAUCCUCCAAGGCUAAAUACUCCUGACUGACCGAUAGUGAACCAGUACCGUGAGGGAAAGGCGAAAAGAACCCCGGCGAGGGGAGUGAAAAAGAACCUGAAACCGUGUACGUACAAGCAGUGGGAGCCUCUUUUAUGGGGUGACUGCGUACCUUUUGUAUAAUGGGUCAGCGACUUAUAUUCUGUAGCAAGGUUAACCGAAUAGGGGAGCCGAAGGGAAACCGAGUCUUAACUGGGCGUUAAGUUGCAGGGUAUAGACCCGAAACCCGGUGAUCUAGCCAUGGGCAGGUUGAAGGUUGGGUAACACUAACUGGAGGACCGAACCGACUAAUGUUGAAAAAUUAGCGGAUGACUUGUGGCUGGGGGUGAAAGGCCAAUCAAACCGGGAGAUAGCUGGUUCUCCCCGAAAGCUAUUUAGGUAGCGCCUCGUGAAUUCAUCUCCGGGGGUAGAGCACUGUUUCGGCAAGGGGGUCAUCCCGACUUACCAACCCGAUGCAAACUGCGAAUACCGGAGAAUGUUAUCACGGGAGACACACGGCGGGUGCUAACGUCCGUCGUGAAGAGGGAAACAACCCAGACCGCCAGCUAAGGUCCCAAAGUCAUGGUUAAGUGGGAAACGAUGUGGGAAGGCCCAGACAGCCAGGAUGUUGGCUUAGAAGCAGCCAUCAUUUAAAGAAAGCGUAAUAGCUCACUGGUCGAGUCGGCCUGCGCGGAAGAUGUAACGGGGCUAAACCAUGCACCGAAGCUGCGGCAGCGACGCUUAUGCGUUGUUGGGUAGGGGAGCGUUCUGUAAGCCUGUGAAGGUGUGCUGUGAGGCAUGCUGGAGGUAUCAGAAGUGCGAAUGCUGACAUAAGUAACGAUAAAGCGGGUGAAAAGCCCGCUCGCCGGAAGACCAAGGGUUCCUGUCCAACGUUAAUCGGGGCAGGGUGAGUCGACCCCUAAGGCGAGGCCGAAAGGCGUAGUCGAUGGGAAACAGGUUAAUAUUCCUGUACUUGGUGUUACUGCGAAGGGGGGACGGAGAAGGCUAUGUUGGCCGGGCGACGGUUGUCCCGGUUUAAGCGUGUAGGCUGGUUUUCCAGGCAAAUCCGGAAAAUCAAGGCUGAGGCGUGAUGACGAGGCACUACGGUGCUGAAGCAACAAAUGCCCUGCUUCCAGGAAAAGCCUCUAAGCAUCAGGUAACAUCAAAUCGUACCCCAAACCGACACAGGUGGUCAGGUAGAGAAUACCAAGGCGCUUGAGAGAACUCGGGUGAAGGAACUAGGCAAAAUGGUGCCGUAACUUCGGGAGAAGGCACGCUGAUAUGUAGGUGAAGCGACUUGCUCGUGGAGCUGAAAUCAGUCGAAGAUACCAGCUGGCUGCAACUGUUUAUUAAAAACACAGCACUGUGCAAACACGAAAGUGGACGUAUACGGUGUGACGCCUGCCCGGUGCCGGAAGGUUAAUUGAUGGGGUCAGCGCAAGCGAAGCUCUUGAUCGAAGCCCCGGUAAACGGCGGCCGUAACUAUAACGGUCCUAAGGUAGCGAAAUUCCUUGUCGGGUAAGUUCCGACCUGCACGAAUGGCGUAAUGAUGGCCAGGCUGUCUCCACCCGAGACUCAGUGAAAUUGAACUCGCUGUGAAGAUGCAGUGUACCCGCGGCAAGACGGAAAGACCCCGUGAACCUUUACUAUAGCUUGACACUGAACAUUGAGCCUUGAUGUGUAGGAUAGGUGGGAGGCUUUGAAGUGUGGACGCCAGUCUGCAUGGAGCCGACCUUGAAAUACCACCCUUUAAUGUUUGAUGUUCUAACGUUGACCCGUAAUCCGGGUUGCGGACAGUGUCUGGUGGGUAGUUUGACUGGGGCGGUCUCCUCCUAAAGAGUAACGGAGGAGCACGAAGGUUGGCUAAUCCUGGUCGGACAUCAGGAGGUUAGUGCAAUGGCAUAAGCCAGCUUGACUGCGAGCGUGACGGCGCGAGCAGGUGCGAAAGCAGGUCAUAGUGAUCCGGUGGUUCUGAAUGGAAGGGCCAUCGCUCAACGGAUAAAAGGUACUCCGGGGAUAACAGGCUGAUACCGCCCAAGAGUUCAUAUCGACGGCGGUGUUUGGCACCUCGAUGUCGGCUCAUCACAUCCUGGGGCUGAAGUAGGUCCCAAGGGUAUGGCUGUUCGCCAUUUAAAGUGGUACGCGAGCUGGGUUUAGAACGUCGUGAGACAGUUCGGUCCCUAUCUGCCGUGGGCGCUGGAGAACUGAGGGGGGCUGCUCCUAGUACGAGAGGACCGGAGUGGACGCAUCACUGGUGUUCGGGUUGUCAUGCCAAUGGCACUGCCCGGUAGCUAAAUGCGGAAGAGAUAAGUGCUGAAAGCAUCUAAGCACGAAACUUGCCCCGAGAUGAGUUCUCCCUGACUCCUUGAGAGUCCUGAAGGAACGUUGAAGACGACGACGUUGAUAGGCCGGGUGUGUAAGCGCAGCGAUGCGUUGAGCUAACCGGUACUAAUGAACCGUGAGGCUUAACCU